rnacentral:misc_RNA from 1 species
GGGUAAUUGAAAAUUAAAACUAUGCAUCAUUAAAAGGCAUAUAUACAGUUACGCAUACCAAUAGCUUUGUUUUAUACAACCACUUUUUCCCCAAAAAAGAAAAAAAGAAAAGGGCAAAAAACAAAUAUAUACAAGCACUUCUUGGUCUUGGGUUCCAAAGAGAAAAAAAGAGUUAGUAGGCCAAACAAGACCCAAACUCAAACUCACUUAAACACGGCCAUUUUCAGGGGAAAAAAAUAGAUUUUAUGAAAUACACCUCAUGGAGUACACGUGCGAUUCCACUGAGGGUGCACCGUAGACCCUAGGAUGAUCACUCUCAAGACCAUAGUCCAUCAUCGGACGGUACUCAAGAUCUUCAUCAUGAUCAUAUAUGAAUUCUGGAACCUCGAUCUCGUUCCUCCGUACAUGCUCCCACAGCAGAUCAAUUCUACUCACGUACCUCACCUUUCCAUAUACCUCGCUAGUGAAGAAGAUGCGGCCGAGAGUUGCGAGGAAGAGUCUGGCCUGGAGGUCAGGGUGAACGAAAUACACGGCUUCGAGAUUAGCCUUGACGGCGGACGGAAUUGCGUCAUAGAUUGAUCGAAGGGCGGCGAUUCCGGGGAAAUUUUGGCUCCUUUGAACGCCGGUAUGAAAGUAUAAGAUCGUAAAACGCUUGUUCUUAAGCCUAGGGAAGAUCUUCUCCUCCAGAUGCUUUUUCAGCACAUCCAAACUCACAUUCCGCGCUGGAAAGAACUUUCCGGUGAUGCGGAGAAUGCGGCGGCCUUGUUUGUCUCUGCCUUUGAUCUUGAAGACGUCGAGUUUUUCGAGAUGGUUUUGUUCCGGCGGAGGAGGUUGAAGGUGAGCGGCCAUAGUGGAAGAAGUACGGAAAGGAAACACUGAAUCAGAGCAUAGUUAGGGCAAAAUAUGAUGGGCAUAUGGAUAUGGAUAAGGAUGGAUGGAAGGGAUUUGGGGGAGGAUGGAAUUUGAGAGAUGAGAUUUCAAAAAUAAGAUGAGAAAGGAAACGGAGAUGAUUGGGCGGAGGAGGAGAAUGGAGCGGAUGUGGG